GCCACAAAACCAGGUUCAACCCAUCAUUUUUAUCUUUAAAAAUGUCCUGUACCAAGUCAGGAAAAUGACCAUUGUUAUAUUAUAGUUCGUUUCUGUGUGUGUAGCAUUUUAACGUCGUGUUUCCGUUGUGUCGUUUGUUUUCUCUUAUAUUUGAGUGUGAAUUCACAUUUCUAUAAGACGUGUCACGGUACUUUUCUAUCCCAAAUUCAUGUAUUU
rnacentral:lncRNA from 1 species